GGAAUCUUGCGCAAUGGGCGAAAGCCUGACGCAGCGACGCCGCGUGAGGGAAGAAGGCCUUCGGGUUGUAAACCUCUUUCAGGAGGGACGAAGCUCCUCGGGUGAAUAGCCCAGAGGGUGACGGUACUUCCAGAAGAAGCCCCGGCUAACUACGUCCCAGCAGCCGCGGUAAUACGGAGGGGGCAAGCGUUGUCCGGAUUUACUGGGCGUAAAGAGCGUGUAGGCGGCCACGCAGGUCUGUUGUGAAAACUGGAGGCUCAACCUUCAGACGUCGACGGAAACCGCGUGGCUAGAGUCCGGAAGAGGAGAGUGGAAUUCCUGGUGUAGCGGUGAAAUGCGCAGAUAUCAGGAAGAACACCGAUGGCGAAGGCAGCUCUCUGGGACGGUACUGACGCUGAGACGCGAAAGCGUGGGGAGCGAA
rnacentral:rRNA from 1 species